GACUGUACCCGGAGAAUAAGCCCCGGAAAAUUUCGUCCCCGCAGCCGCUAUAAUAAGAAGGGGGAGAGCUUUUUUUAGAAUUACUGGGUAUAAAGCGCAUGUAGGCGGAUUUAUAAGUCAGGGGUGAAAUCCCGGGGCUCAACCUGGGAACCGCGUUUGAUACUGCAGGUCUAGAGUCGGGGAGAGGUGAGUGGAAUUCCGAGUGUAGAGGUGAAAUUAGUAGAUAUGAGGAAGAACACCAGUGGAGAAGGCGGCUCACUGGUCCGGUACAGACGAUGAGGCGAGAAAGCGUGGGGAGCAAACAGGAUUAG
rnacentral:rRNA from 1 species